rnacentral:lncRNA from 1 species
AUGGCUUAUGAGUAUCUUAAAAGCUUGGCUCCUGCUAAAAUCAUUCUCGGGGAUACCUUGACCGAGACAUCUAACCGAGUCCGCCAAGGCUGUUAAAAAGUUCGUAUACACGUAAACAUAUUUUUAGUUUGAAAAACAUAGUCAUUCCUUGGCGUUAGCGGAGUUCAUCAUCACGAGGUGGUUCGGCAUGACGUGAACUCUGUCCAUACCUCAGGAGAUACCCUACGUGCUUGUCCGAUCGAGGUACAUAUAUAUAUAUUCGGAUUCCGUGCCCCUCUAAUAGGCUGAUUCACAAAAUUCGCCUACUGUAGCAAGCUAAACCCACCAUACAAUAAAAUUUUGACAGCAUGACAGGGCUAAUAUUUUACUACCCAGCCUGCAAGGGAAAAAUAAAACAAUUCAUUCAAUUCAUAAAAUACAGCCCAGCCAGUCAUGCCAACACAAUAACAAUAUAACAUAAGCCAUCAAUUUCCAAUCAUAAAUUUGCAACAUACCGGUGGUCUCCAAUUACUCUAUUUUCAAAAUCAUUAUUCAAUUUUAAGACAAUUUAUAAAAAUCUUUUCAGGUAAACACAUUCUGUUUGUAAAAAACAAAAAUUUACCAUUUAAACUCAUUUUCAUAAAAUUUCACCAAAAUUGAUUAAAAACAUACUUUAGAUAAUUAAAAUGAUGGUAAGGUUACUCACUAUUUCGGGAGUCAAAUUUCUAGAGUACUCUGACUACCAAUCCUCGGGUACAAUUUCCUUGCCUUUAUCGAAG